rnacentral:rRNA from 1 species
GACGAACGCUGGCGGCGUGCCUAAUACAUGCAAGUCGAACGCUUUUUCUUUCACCGGAGCUUGCUCCACCGAAAGAAAAAGAGUGGCGAACGGGUGAGUAACACGUGGGUAACCUGCCCAUCAGAAGGGGAUAACACUUGGAAACAGGUGCUAAUACCGUAUAACACUAUUUUCCGCAUGGAAGAAAGUUGAAAGGCGCUUUUGCGUCACUGAUGGAUGGACCCGCGGUGCAUUAGCUAGUUGGUGAGGUAACGGCUCACCAAGGAAACGAUGCAUAGCCGACCUGAGAGGGUGAUCGGCCACACUGGGACCGAGACACGGCCCAGACUCCUACGGGAGGCAGCAGUAGGGAAUCUUCGGCAAUGGACGAAAGUCUGACCGAGCAACGCCGCGUGAGUGAAGAAGGUUUUCGGAUCGUAAAACUCUGUUGUUAGAGAAGAACAAGGAUGAGAGUAAAACGUUCAUCCCUUGACGGUAUCUAACCAGAAAGCCACGGCUAACUACGUGCCAGCAGCCGCCGUAA